UAGACUUUUUGUUAUGGCACAUUGCAUGUUAACAUUUGCAAUCUCUAGAUCAUUUCCAAAUAAAGGCAAAGAUGUCAUCGAUGACAACUUCAUUUUGUCAACAUAUGAUUGUCUCACUAAGUCCAUGGAAGAAUGAUGUUUUUCCUUCCAAUAUUGCAGUUUAAUGUUGUCCCAACUAAUUUUUAACUUUUUAAAGUGUUGCUCUAUAUCACUGUCUAACUCUGAAACUUUAACCAAUCCACUC